CAGUCGAGCGAGGAGAUUCCCUUCGGGGAUGAACCUAGCGGCGGACGGGUGAGUAACACGUGGGCAACCUGCCUUAUAGAGGGGAAUAGCCUUCCGAAAGGAAGAUUAAUACCGCAUAACAUUACAUUUUCGCAUGAAGAAGUAAUUAAAGGAGUAAUCCGCUAUAAGAUGGGCCCGCGGCGCAUUAGCUAGUUGGUGAGGUAACGGCUCACCAAGGCGACGAUGCGUAGCCGACCUGAGAGGGUGAUCGGCCACAUUGGGACUGAGACACGGCCCAGACACCUACGGGAGGCAGCAGUGGGGAAUAUUGCACAAUGGGGGAAACCCUGAUGCAGCAACGCCGCGUGAGUGAUGAAGGUCUUCGGAUCGUAAAGCUCUGUCUUCAGGGACGAUAAUGACGGUACCUGAGGAGAAAGCCACGGCCAACUACGUGCCAGCAGCCGCGGUAAUACGUAGGUGGCGAGCGUUGUCCGGAUUUACUGGGCGUAAAGGGAGCGUAGGCGGAUUUUUAAGUGAGAUGUGAAAUACCCGGGCUCAACUUGGGUGCUGCAUUUCAAACUGGAAGUCUAGAGUGCAGGAGAGGAGAGUGGAAUUCCUAGUGUAGCGGUGAAAUGCGUAGAGAUUAGGAAGAACACCAGUGGCGAAGGCGACUCUCUGGACUGUAACUGACGCUGAGGCUCGAAAGCGUGGGGAGCAACAGGAUUGAUACCCUGGUAGUCACGCCGUAA
rnacentral:rRNA from 1 species